rnacentral:lncRNA from 1 species
GGUAUCUCAGCAUGAAACUGCCUUCACCUCAAAAAUACCCAGCCUCAAAAGCAUAUUCAAGCAGUUCUUCAUGACUCCCGUAAAUCAAGCUCUCAUCAUUGAGCCAUGGGAGCAAAUGAAUAUUCUCUUUUAAAGAGUGAACAAGCAAAUGCUUGGAAUAAAAAGAAAGAAUUACAUUGAAUCUUUUAAAAGACUCAGUUUUCCAACCUUGGCUGGCUAAGCAG